GACGUAGGGCGCAAGCGUUGUCCGGAUUUAUUGGGCGUAAAGAGCUCGUAGGCGGCUUGUUGCGUCGUCCGUGAAAACCCGUGGCUCAACUGCGGGCUUGCGGACGAUACGGGCAGGCUGGAGUUCGGUAGGGGAGUCUGGAAUUCCUGGUGUAGCGGUGAAAUGCGCAGAUAUCAGGAGGAACACCGGUGGCGAAGGCGGGACUCUGGGCCGAUACUGACGCUGAGGAGCGAAAGCGUGGGGAGCAAACAGG
rnacentral:rRNA from 1 species